GACGAACGCUGGCGGCGUGCCUAAUACAUGCAAGUAGAACGCUGAAGGAGGAGCUUGCUCUUCUGGAUGAGUUGCGAACGGGUGAGUAACGCGUAGGUAACCUGCCUGGUAGCGGGGGAUAACUAUUGGAAACGAUAGCUAAUACCGCAUAACAUUGACUAUUGCAUGAUAGUCAAUUGAAAGGUGCAAAUGCACCACUACCAGAUGGACCUGCGUUGUAUUAGCUAGUUGGUGGGGUAACGGCUCACCAAGGCUACGAUACAUAGCCGACCUGAGAGGGUGAUCGGCCACACUGGGACUGAGACACGGCCCAGACUCCUACGGGAGGCAGCAGUAGGGAAUCUUCGGCAAUGGACGGAAGUCUGACCGAGCAACGCCGCGUGAGUGAAGAAGGUUUUCGGAUCGUAAAGCUCUGUUGUAAGAGAAAGAAACGAGUGUGAGAGUGAAAAGUUCCACCACUG
rnacentral:rRNA from 1 species